rnacentral:rRNA from 1 species
AUUGAACGCUGGCGGCAGGCCUAACACAUGCAAGUCGAACGAGUGGCGGACGGGUGAGUAAUGUCUGGGAAACUGCCUGAUGGAGGGGGAUAACUACUGGAAACGGUAGCUAAUACCGCAUACCAUCAGAUGUGCCCAGAGUGGAUUAGCUAGUUGGUGGGGUAACGGCUCACCAAGGCGACGAUCCCUAGCUGGUCUGAGAGGAUGACCAGCCACGCUGGAACUGAGACACGGUCCAGAAUCCUACGGGAGUCAGCAGUGGGGAAUAGUGCAAAAUGGGCGCAAGCUGGAUGCAGCAAUGCCGCGUGUAUGAAGAAGGCUUGCGGGUUGUAAAGUACUUUCAGCGGGGAGGCGUUACCCGCAGAAGACGCACCGGCUAACUCCGUGCCAGCAGCCGCGGUACUAC